rnacentral:rRNA from 1 species
CCUACGGGUGGCAGCAGUGGGGAAUAUUGGGCAAUGGAGGAAACUCUGACCCAGCAACGCCGCGUGAAUGAUGAAGGUCUUCGGAUUGUAAAGUUCUUUUCUAAGGGAAGAAGAAAGUGACGGUACCUUAGUAAUAAGCCGCUGCUACCUACGGGCCAGCAGCCGCGGUAAUACGUAGGAGGCGAGCGUUAUCCGGAAUGACUGGGCGUAAAGGGGGCGUAGGUGGUGUGGCAAGUUAGUAGCGUAACUCCAAGGCUCAACCUUGGAACUACUACUAAAACUGUUGGACUGGAGUGCAGGAGGGGUAACUGGAAUUCUUAGUGUAGCGGUGGAAUGCGUAGAUAUUAGGAGGAACACCAGUGGCGAAGGCGGGUUGCUAGACUGUAACUGACACUGAGGCACGAAAGCGUGGGGAGCAAACAGGAUUAGAUACCCUUGUAGUC